rnacentral:rRNA from 1 species
GGGCCCGCACAAGCGGAGGAGCAUGUGGUUUAAUUCGAUGAUACGCGAGGAACCUUACCCGGGCUUGAACGUAAGACGAAUAUACAGGAAACUGUAUAGCCUACGGGCGUCUUGCGAGGUGCUGCAUGGUUGUCGUCAGCUCGUGCCGUGAGGUGUUAGGUUAAGUCCUGCAACGAGCGCAACCCUUACACGUAGUUACCAGCACGUAAUGGUGGGAACUCUACGAGAACUGCCUACGCAAGUAGAGAGGAAGGUGGGGAUGACGUCAAAUCAGCACGGCCCUUAUGUCCGGGGCUACACACGUGCUACAAUGGUAUGUACAGAGGGCAGCCACCACGUGAGUGGGAGCCAAUCCUCAAAGCAUAUCUCAGUUCGGAUUGGAGUCUGUAACUCGACUCCAUGAAGCCGGAUUCGCUAGUAAUCGCGCAUCAGCCAUGGCGCGGUGAAUACG